rnacentral:rRNA from 1 species
CGUUGCUUCGGCGGGCGGCCCCGGGGUUUACCCCCCGGGCGCCCCUGGGCCCCACCGCGGGCGCCCGCCGGAGGUCACCAAACUCUUGAUAAUUUAUGGCCUCUCUGAGUCUUCUGUACUGAAUAAGUCAAAACUUUCAACAACGGAUCUCUUGGUUCUGGCAUCGAUGAAGAACGCAGCGAAAUGCGAUAAGUAAUGUGAAUUGCAGAAUUCAGUGAAUCAUCGAAUCUUUGAACGCACAUUGCGCCCGCCAGUAUUCUGGCGGGCAUGCCUGUUCGAGCGUCAUUUCAACCAUCAAGCCCCCGGGCUUGUGUUGGGGACCUGCGGCUGCCGCAGGCCCUGAAAAGCAGUGGCGGGCUCGCUGUCGCACCGAGCGUAGUAGCAUACAUCUCGCUCUGGUCGCGCCGCGGGUUCCGGCCGUUAAACCACCUUUUAACCCAAGGUUGACCUCGGAUCAGGUAGGAAGACCCGCUGAACUUAAGCAUAUCAA